CACGUGAGCCUCAAGCGAUACCCGGAUUCACUGGGCGUAAAGGGUGUGCAGGCGGCUUUGUUAGUCGUUCGUUAAAGACCGAAGCUCAACUUCGGAAGGGCGAGCGAAACGGCAAAGCUCGAGGGCGCGAGAGGUGAACGGAACUCAUGGUGUAGGGGUGAAAUCCGUUGAUAUCAUGGGGAACACCGAAAGCGAAGGCAGUUCACUGGCGCGUUCCUGACGCUCAUACACGAAAGCCAGGGUAGCGAACGGG
rnacentral:misc_RNA from 1 species